GUCCAGACUCCUACGGGAGGCAGCAGUGAGGAAUAUUGGUCAAUGGGAGAGAUCCUGAACCAGCCAAGCCGCGUGAGGGAAGACGGCCCUAUGGGUUGUAAACCUCUUUUGUCGGAGAACAAAACCCGGGACGUGUCCCGGACUGCGUGUAUCCGAAGAAAAAGCAUCGGCUAACUCCGUGCCAGCAGCCGCGGUAAUACGGAGGAUGCGAGCGUUAUCCGGAUUUAUUGGGUUUAAAGGGUGCGUAGGCGGUCCGUUAAGUCAGCGGUAAAAUGGCGGGGCUCAACCCCGUCGAGCCGUUGAAACUGGCAGACUUGAGUUGGCGAGAAGUACGCGGAAUGCGCGGUGUAGCGGUGAAAUGCAUAGAUAUCGCGCAGAACUCCGAUUGCGAAGGCAGCCUGCCGCAGCGUUACUGACGCUGAAGCUCGAAAGCGCGGGUAUCGAACAGGAUUAGAUACCCGAGUAAA
rnacentral:rRNA from 1 species